AUUGAACGCUGGCGGAAUGCUUUACACAUGCAAGUCGAGCGGCAGCGCGGGGCAACCUGGCGGCGAGCGGCGAACGGGUGAGUAAUGCAUCGGAACAUGUCCAUGUCGUGGGGGAUAGCCCGGCGAAAGCCGGAUUAAUACCGCAUACGCCCGCGAGGGGAAAGUGGGGGACCGCAAGGCCUCACGCGAUUGGGUUGGCCGAUGUCCGAUUAGCUAGUUGGCGGGGUAAGAGCCCACCAAGGCGAUGAUCGGUAGCUGGUCUGAGGGGAUGAUCAGCCACACUGGGACUGAGACACGGCCCAGACUCCUACGGGAGGCAGCAGUGGGGAAUUUUGGACAAUGGGGGAAACCCUGAUCCAGCCAUUCCGCGUGAGUGAAGAAGGCCUUCGGGUUGUAAAGCUCUUUUGUCCGGAACGAAACGGUUAGGCCGAAUACGCCUGACUACUGACGGUACCGGAAGAAUAAGCACCGGCUAACUACGUGCCAGCCGCCGCAGUAAUAC
rnacentral:rRNA from 1 species